rnacentral:lncRNA from 1 species
CCUCUUAGAUUAGCAAGCAAUUAUUCCUUUCUGAGCUUUCCUGCAGAGAAAGGCAACAUGUCAGUGGUGUAAAAGAAGAAAAGUCUCCUUGUGAACACCAGUUAAGAGGUGAUGAACUCGUUUUGCUGGGCUAUCCCUUUCCUUCUACAUCUGUCUGGCCUGCCACCUUUGCACUCACACAGUCACAAAUCUAGGGGGAAGGUAACUGGAGCUUUGCUUUCUCAGAGUCCUACCCCUAUUAAGAACUCCAGGAAAGGGAC